rnacentral:lncRNA from 1 species
UUGGGUAUGACAAAUCAUGCAAUGAAGUUCAGUUUAUAAUAUUAUAUGAAAUGCCAUUCAGAUCCUUGAACUUGCAUAUUGAAUCAUUUGCAUAUGCAUAUCGUGUAGAAGUUAAUAUCACCGACGGAACCUACGAGCUCCCCCCAUGCAAGAAGAGGAACCAGCAGCUGAUCAGCAUCACGUGGAAGUCGAGCUCGAGCAAGAGCAAACCGAAGAUCUGCUAACAUUUUCUGAACAUGAAGGCAAGCCUCGGAGCAUGUUUCCUGUUUUCUAAACUUAUGCAAUUAUAUUGAUGCUUAUGCUUGUGCAUUUACGUUUCUAGGAGUUGAUUGAAACCAUAGAUGCAUGAACUUAGUAACCUCUUGAUCUGAACACUAGUAUGAUAAGUCGAGUAGAUGCAAUGCUUAAAUAGGACACGGUAAAAG